UACGGGGGGGGCAAGCGUUGUUCGGAAUUACUGGGCGUAAAGGGCGCGUAGGCGGCCUGUUAAGUCGAACGUGAAAUCCCCGGGCUCAACCCGGGAACUGCGUCCGAUACUGGCAGGCUUGAAUCCGGGAGAGGGAUGCGGAAUUCCAGGUGUAGCGGUGAAAUGCGUAGAUAUCAGGAGGAACACCGAUGGCGAAGGCAGGUCUCUGGGCCACUACUGACGCUGAGAAGCGAAAGCAUGGGGAGCGAACAGG
rnacentral:rRNA from 1 species